rnacentral:tRNA from 1 species
AUUUAAAUAGUUUAAAACAAAAUAUUGAUUUGUGGUGUCAAAGAUAUGAUUAAUUCAUUUUAAAUA